rnacentral:rRNA from 1 species
AGGAAUCCUAAAGAGAUUUGGAGUGCUCGAAAGAGAACCUGCACACAGGUGCUGCAUGGCUGUCGUCAGCUCGUGUCGUGAGAUGUUGGGUUAAGUCCCGCAACGAGCGCAACCCUUGCCAUUAGUUGCUACGAAAGGGGCACUCUAAUGGGACUGCCGGUGACAAACCGGAGGAAGGUGGGGAUGACGUCAAGUCCUCAUGGCCCUUAUAGGUGGGGCUACACACGUCAUACAAUGGCCGGUACAGAGGGUAGCCAACCCGCGAGGGGGAGCCAAUCCCACAAAGCCGGUCGUAGUCCGGAUCGCAGUCUGCAACUCGACUGCGUGAAGUCGGAAUCGCUAGUAAUCGCGGAUCAGCAUGUCGCGGUGAAUACGUUCCCGAGGUCUU